GGUGUCUCAGUGGUAGAGCGCUUGCCUUGCAUGCAUGAGACCCUGGGUUCAAUUCCUCAGCACCA
rnacentral:tRNA from 1 species